GUAUAUAUAAACUACUGAGGUUACGCUCCUAACGGAAGGCAAACUGGCCGCUUGCACAAGUCUGUGGCACUCUUCAUCUCCUGCCAUGGCACGUUCCUUGGCAAUCCUUGUUAUCAUAUUCAUAUGCUGCUCCCUGCCAUGCUCAAUGGCCAAACAAGUUCAUCUAGAUGGAAGCCGUCCGAGUUUUGGUCCUCCGUCACCGCAGGGUGCGAACCCGCAUGGCUGUGUUGGUAGAUGCAAUAACGGGCGUCCAGACACCACAUCUCCGACGACGGCAGCCCUUACACCGCACCGCAAGACCCUGCAGCAGGCUAUUCUAGAUUGAUAUGUGUAUAUAUGACACAUGCAAGUGUUCCGCUAGAGUCUUGGAAAGUUUACCAUUGACUAUUGCGUACACUUUUUGUCAGGGGUGUCUGGAAAUGAUUACGAAGAUGGUGUAUGACAGUAAAUAAAUAUGAGGAUGGCUGUACUGUUUUUAUAUAUUAUAUAAUUGUGAACUCUAAUUAAUCAGUGUAUUGCAUGAAUAAACUGUCUAUUUAGUGCUC
rnacentral:rRNA from 1 species